rnacentral:rRNA from 1 species
AGUGAACGCUGGCGGUAGGCCUAACACAUGCAAGUCGAACGGCAGCACAGUAAGAGCUUGCUCUGACGGGGGGGAGGGGCGGACGGGUGAGGAAAACGUUCGUAACCUGCUUUUUCCUGGGGGAUAACGGAGGGAAACUUUGGCUAAUACGGGAUAUUCCCUAUGGGUGAAAUGAUGGGUCUUGGGAACCUUGCGCGUUGGAAUGGGCCGAUGUCGGAUUAGCUAGUUGGCGGGGUAAGGGCCCACCAAGGCGACGAUCCGUAGCUGGUCUGAGAGGAUGAUCAGCCACACUGGAACUGAGACACGGUCCAGACUCCUACGGGAGGCAGCAGUGGGGAAUAUUGGACCAUGGGCGCAAGCCUGAUCCAGCCGUACCGCGUGGGUGAAGAAGGCCUUCGGGUUGUAAAGCCCUUUUGUUGGGAAAGAAAAGCAGCAGGUUAAUACCCCGCUGUUCUGACGGUACCCAAAGAAUAAGCACCGGCUAACUUCGUG